CUGAUUCUAAAGCUGCUGUCUGCAUGCCAGGCUAGUACAGCUCUCAAUCUGGGAUCAGGAAAGAGAGGUACCACAUGUGGUCAAGGAGCUCCCACAUCCCCAGGAGUCCAAGGGUUGCCAUUCUUCCUCCUUCUGUCUCUGUGAUGUCGCCACUACAAUGUUGUCAUAUUGUGAACUAUUCUGGUCUGCUGGUGGAAAUAGAUGAAAGGAGGAGAAAUCCUGUGUGUGACAGUACAAAUGCAAAAAUAAAACCAAAAACAACAAUAAGAAAGCAGAAGUGGAAGGAAAAGAAUCUUAGCUUGAGUCAACCAACUUGUUACCAGAAUUCAGUUAUUAAAAAUCUCUACAGUGGAUGUUAGCAGAGCUCAAAUCCUUAUGAACCCAAACUCCCAAAACACUGGAUCCGGUGAGAUGGCUGGAGCUCAGCAGGGUCAGCAUGAGGAACACCACGAGGACUGCUGAAACACCACAUUCCCAUGGCUGCGGCAGGACAGCGGGGUGGCUGGAAGGCACAGUGUCUGUGAAUCUGUGGUCCUCGGCAAGGGAUGUGACCGCAUGGUGGGUCGCCUGACCUAUGAGCAGAGAUGGAAGGAAGAAUGCCAAUUUGGAGGCAGAUG